rnacentral:lncRNA from 1 species
UCCUGGCCCCCAUCUCCUCACCCCAAGUCCUGGGAUACCCAUGUCCAUAGCCCAGUGUCCCCUGUGAGGAGCCUGGUUAACUUAUAUUGUUAUAUAGCGUCCCCUGUCUGUCAUGUCUCUUAAGUUAUUGUGACCUACACUGGGUACUGGAGGGGAUGGGGGAUGGCUUCCGCUGCUGUCCCCCAAGCCAGGCUCCUCCUUCUGCUUGAAACAGACCCUCGGGGGCCCCUGAUGCCACCGAGGCAAUUCGCACUGUCCCUGGGCUGCCAGGCACCUGCGCCUGCACUCGGUCAGCCGCAGACCUUGCCUUGGGGGAGAGAGGUGGUUAGUGGACCCAGGCAGGGCACUGGCUGUCCCAAUGCUGUGUGCUGGGGUGGAGGUGGCCGGGCACCACAUGUCCUUGAAGUGCCCUACUUCUGAUGGGCUGUGUUCCUGCCUCCUCUGGAGGGGGGCACUUAGCCCCAAUAAAAGCUGGAAUCAG